CCGUGCUAGACGGGGAGGUAGCGGUGCCCUGAACCCGCAACCCGCUAUAGCGGGGUUGAAUUCCUGCCGGAGGGUAUGACUUGUGGGGUCCGGCCUGUUUACGAGGAGCGAUGACGGUUGGGUCUUGCGCGGCGGAGACUUUUGAACCGUGUCAGGUCUUGACGGAAGCAGCACUAAGAAAGAACCUCCGGGUGCCGCAAGGUUGCCUGGCAAGAGAAAACCAGUACAGGUUUCGCCCGGAAGCCAUUUCACGGAGGCAGGUGCACGG
rnacentral:SRP_RNA from 1 species